rnacentral:rRNA from 1 species
GACGAAGGGGGCUAGCGUUGUUCGGAAUUACUGGGCGUAAAGCGCGUGUAGGCGGUUGUUCAAGUCGGGUGUGAAAGCCUUGAGCUCAACUCAAGAAAUGCACUCGAUACUGGAUGACUUGAGGACCGGAGAGGAUAGUGGAAUUCCCAGUGUAGUGGUGAAAUGCGUAGAGAUCGGGAGGAACACCAGCGGCGAAGACGGCGCCUGGACAGGUACUGACACUCGAAACUACGAAA